CUUGUGUCUACAUGCGACGCGACACAUCCGAUGGAGGCUUCCCGUUGCGUUGGUUGCUAAUGGGACGGCGACGUCACAGUACCGUGAAAGGUUGGCAGUGUCCCACCCUAAAAAAUAUCAAACUAUCCUGAGCGUGGAUGUCUCGAGUCCGACACCCGAGUGCAGUGGCCGCAUAUCGAUGGGGGCGGAAUCACAACAUGCUCAAGGGAAACCGUUUCCGCGAACUGUCCGACUCUAGGGGAGGCCCUUUCCGCGAACCAACGUCGCCUAGAAGAAAGGAUCAGCCGCCCAUCCUCGACCAGACUCCUUGGGUUGCCGCCAGAGGAGGCAAGUACGCGCAACGUCACCUGGGAGAAGGGAACAGCCGCCUACGAUCCCGGACUCGCGGGAUCGUGACAGCCGGGAUAAGCCCGGGCAACGUCGCCUAGAAGAAAGGAUCAGGCGCCUAUGAUCCCCGACCCGCGGGUUCUCGCCAGCGGAGGCAAGCAAGUGGAACGUCACCUGGGAGAAAGUCUCAGCCGCCCAUCCACAACCAGACUCAGUGCCUGUCACGUGACGUUGACGUGAGCGAGAUCUCGCCUACAAUUUUAGUGGGCCUAUUUAAGGGGCCCCGCAAUGUACUU